rnacentral:rRNA from 1 species
AACGAACGCUGGCGGCGUGGAUAAGACAUGCAAGUCGAGCGGGAACUUUCGCUGUAGCAAUACAGUGAAAGUUCUAGCGGCGAACGGGUGCGUAACACGUGGACAAUCUGCCUUAAAGUGGGGGAUAGCUCGGCGAAAGCCGAAUUAAUACCGCAUGUGAUGAGAGACGACAUCGUCUUGAAAUCAAAGCCGGGGCAACCUGGCGCUUUUUGAGGAGUCCGCGGCCAUCAGCUUGUUGGUGAGGUAACGGCUCACCAAGGCUAUGACGGGUAGCUGGUCUGAGAGGACGACCAGUCACACUGGAACUGAGACACGGUCCAGACACCUACGGGUGGCAGCAGUCGAGUAAUUUUUG